UGCAGGGCACCGCGGACCAAGGCCCAGAGGCUGGAAAGUCCCCGGUGUGCCCAGGGGUUAAGGAACAGGGGACGGGGCCAGAAGCAGGUGUCUGCAUCGCUGAGCCCGCCUGAGAGCCGGACUAGGGUUUGAGCAGUCCUCUCCAGAUGACGGGCGUGUGGAAAGCCGGCUCCUUAUUUCCGCAGCCUCGGUUUGGGUACGGUGCCCUCCAGGGAGACUGACGGAGGAAGCGGCAGUGAAGUGCAACACCCAGGAAGUGAUGAGCUGAGAGCUCCGAGGCAGACACGAAACAGGUGGGGAUCAGUGUGGCCUCUGGAGGGACCUGCGCGGCGCCGGCUGGCUCCUCGGCUCAGACAGGUGGCCACGCGUGCAGCCCCUGAGGAGAGAGGCACACACGUCACCACCUUCAAUGGUAGUUGCUCAUGCCUCGGACAGUCUGAGUUCUAGGCCCAAGAGAUGGUGGUAUCUGGGGACUCGAGCCCCGCUCCACUGCUUAUGGAUGACUGGACCGGGUGACUGGCCUUCAAGAAUCCUGUCUUCACAUCUGUAAAAUGGAAUCCACAAAGACACAACACCAGAACGCACAGGGCCCCGGAUGCAGCUGGAAGCCGGGUUCUGCUCACGGGCCAUUGCCCGUAGCCGUGCUCCCACGUGGUGCUUCUGACCGGGGUGUGGACGAAGAAUGUCACCCCCGUAUUGGGAAACAAAGGAUGCUGCAGCCGUCAAGACAGCAGGCACUGCAGCCACGACACCCCACUGUGCACCCUGAAAGGACUCAGGAUGGAGCAAAGCGGGAUGCUGGCCCUAGAUAGCUGAGGUGCUUAUCAAAGUGAUGAUUUCGAUCAACACAGACUCUUGCAUCUUCCCAGACAUAAAAAAGUGCUGAAUUCGUUAACUUGAGAUGUCUGGGUUUUCUUUAAUUAACAGUAAUCUCUUGAUGUACCAACUACCUGGUUUUGGUCUCAAAACCCCCUGUACAUCCUGGUUUCGCCCCUGCCUCUCUGGGGCAGUUCCUCAGGGCUGUCUGAGAGGCUGCCUCUGGGGCUUGAGUUCUCAGCAAGUCCGCUGAAUAAAACAUAAAC